GCAGAAUAAUUUCUGGAGUGCUACUAAUAAACCCUAUAUUCAAUGUCUUUGGUAGUAAAAAACAUUGAAGCAAGCAUCAGCAAUUCUUGAAGACAGAAUACAACUAUGAGUACCUGAAGGCUCUUUCUUUGGAUUGUAGGGGUGGAAUAACUUGUCAGGAAUUAGUAAAUUGGAAUCAAAUAUGUCUAGAAUUCUGACUAGCUAAAGACGGAAUAAUCAAAACUGUCAAAGGUUGGUGCAUAACGCUUUGAGACAAGUGGUCCAGCAAAUAUUGUUCUAAUAUCAUCUUAACCACAAGGGCUGCUCAGAUGUGAUUCUUGAAGGCGUUUAAGUUAGCAAAGAGUACUCAUCAUUAAUCUUUUAUAAUGGCUUUUGGGAGCCACAGUUCAUUUAAACAUUUUACAUUUUUAUUACUUAUGUAUGCGGGGCAGCAAUUAAAGCUGUCGUGGUCAUAUAAUGAAGACUAAUGAAAGCAAGAUGAAGGCAAGUUUUCAUUUUCUGUCAACCUGAACAUCCAUCUGCUUCUGCUAUCUCCCUGCCCCCCUGCCAAAAAUAUUUUUUUUUCUUUUCUUGAAAGCCAACUCCCCAGUCCCUAGACAUUUAGCCAAACACCUUCACAAUUGUCCAGGAUGAACUAUGAAGACUAAGUGGUCCUUUCUCUUCUUAUGAGGAAGAAGCAUAUCUCUUGAUAAUCAGACAAGUACUGUAAAAGGCUCAGUCUUUCUCAAUACAAGUAAAUUUGACUGAUUCGAUAACAACAUCUUUAUGGUAUGCUUUCUUGGCCACUGUGAAAUAAUAGCUCUGGAGGGAAGACAGGGAUUAGUCACCCCACAAUUAGUCAUUCUUCAGUGUAGCUUUAUACUUGAGAGAUCUGUAUUUCAGAAAUGUGGCUCUGCAAAUGUAGCUCCCAUUUUCAAGUACUUUCCACUUCCUUCCUCUUUCAGUUAGGAAGAGUCUGGAGAAAGAAAAAACAUUCACUCUUUAUACAUAAUGUGUUUCUGCACUUGUAUGUCUCUAUUUCUUCUUUAUACAUACAUCACUUUCCCUUUCUUGGGAGCUGCAAUCAAAGCCCCAGAAUCAGGAAGUGCCUGCUGUCCACAGCUACUUUCCCUCACCAGACUUGCCUCUAUUGCCUGCAAAGUCUUCUAUGCCAGUUUAUCUAAGGGAGAGCACAGCAGCCUGGCUAGAUAAGCUAAGGCUGGUCUUGCAAAGAGGGUGUCAUAAACAUGGGGCCAGUGCUCACAUGUCUACAGUAGCCUGGGACCCCAAGAAGGGCCAGCACCUGUUAGCGUUUGGUGAGGUGCAGACGGACUUGCACCCUCUGCAGCUUGUGUGUACAGAACUUUGUGGUGAGUGAAUUGUGAGCUGGGAACACUUGGAGAUUACCUCUUUCCUAAAGGGGAUUUACUGUUUUGUGAUCCAAUAGUAAUAAAUGACAGAGAUACCCAAACAAAAACUCUUUCGUAAUAGCCAGAAACUUUGCUACAGAAAAUUGGUUUCCUUCAACUGGAAUUUGAGUCAAAAGGCAAUGCAGAUGUUUUAAAGUGUUAAUCAUGAAUAUCAGGGGAGAAGGAGCUUACUGGCAGAGCUCCCACUGAGUAGGACUUAAUGUUUGGCCUCAGAUAUUUCAGCUGGUAAGAUGUUGCUUACUUCACUGAUGCAUACACAGCGGCUCCACAGUUCUCUUAACCAUUUCAUCUUUGGAAUUAGUAGUUGCAGUAUUGCCUGUGUGCCACAGAAAGUAUGCUUUGCCACAGCGGUUGCACUAAGCACAUGUUUAUGACUCGUCUAGGCACAAAGACCAGAUCUAUUCCUCUUCUCACAAGAUGGCUUGUCUUCUCAAAUCCCCACACCACAGCAAGAACCUGGAUCUUCUUUCCACCCAUCACUCCUCUCAAUUCCUUGGUGUUUCUUACUUGCCAAACUGUCUUCUCCCGAAUAUAUUCCAUGCAUACCAAACACUGCUUGAAAUUUGGCACUGAGAGACUUUCAUAAUUGUACUUAUGCUGGUAUAAAUAGAGUUAAUAACUUCUCAUUUCAGGCACCUAGUUGUCAUUAUUACUUACCAGCCCAAACUCCAAACACAGAAAUAGAAUCUGGCAAAAGAAAUACAGAGCAAGACAUGGGCCAAAUUGAUUUGACUUAAAACAGCAUCAAAACAGAUGAAAUGCCGUGUUUCAUUUGGAAAAACAGCAGCUGUGUCUGUACAGUAACUACUGCGCUUCUCCAAAGGGUUUUUCCCACUUGCAGGUCCAAAUUUAGCCUAAUGUAGCUUAGAGACAUAAGGUAAAGCUCCCAUUAAAUUCGUGGAUCAAACUGUUUAAAGAUGUAAACAGGAUUACCUGAAGUCAGUCAGAAGUGGUUUGAGUUGCUCCAACUUUAGGAACGCAGUGUAAUAUACUGAUGGCAGUCAAGGACUAAGUGGGAAAAGGGAACAGGGUAGAAAACGCAAGUUAAAGACUAAGCCUUGUUCCUUUUGCCUUGCCUUGCCUGUUAUAAACAGAUGCCAGUCUGUGCAUGCUCAUCACAGAACAGCAAUCAUCAUAAUUUACAGUGAUUUAAUAUUAGCAUGUCAUCACCAAAGUACAAGGAAUUAUGUUUCUCCCCAGUACCACUGUGCAGUAGCUAUAACUAGAUGGCAUCUUCCAAUAGGCCCUCUGCUUGGUAUAUGCCCUUCAUACUAAAUUAGUGCAAAGAUGCUACGGUUACAAGCUAAAGUGUUUUCUUGUAUACCAGAGGUUCUCUCUGGUCUGUUACUUAAUCUGCAUGUUUAUCUUUUCACCAAUGGUGGGAUUUAAAAGCAAAGCUAACCUGAAACAAAACUCUCUGACCAGAUUAAGCAUAAUUUAUACCUCUCUGUGUAACUAAGCAGGGAGCUGACUGGUGCUGUCAUUUGGUUAUAUGCUGUUAUACCUAGUCCCAAAGUCCCACAGAGCAAGUGCCACUCAGACUUGCUCUCUGUGACAACUAAAGCAGAAGAAUGCUACUAGUCAGAUAAAGUACACUUAUGCCAAUGGAAUGGAAGCUGUGUCUGAAGCAGUUGUUUUUUAAAUGUGGCAAUCUCGAUGGUUCUCUGACUAGAAUUGGAUUAUUAAAAUAGCUUGUAGAUCUCCAAGGUGAGGUUUUAUUUCUUAUUUCUCUACUGGGUUUCGUGCCUCAGGUGGAAAUGAAGUUAGUUUUCUGAUGACAAUCCUGCUUCCUUUUAUUCAACAGGGUGUGCAUGACACUCCUGUGUUCCUGAGGCUGAACACUGCGCUCCAACUGUUGUAGAGUCAAAAAAUGAGGCAUAUCCUUGAGCCGGCUUUGGUCCUUUUACACAGAAAUGAUGCGGGGGAGAAAAUUAAGGCGUGCGCAAUUAGUGAAAAUUGGAAACUGCAGUACAGCUUCUGACUCUGGCUGCAUUCGUGCAGGGCUCAGCACAAACAAAGCAGCUUCCCAUUGGACUCCUUACAAUGGAACAGAAGGAAGAUCACUACAAGCACUAGGUAUUUCUGUUAACAGGAAGCCUGGUAAAUGCUCUUUCUGUGCCAGUAACACCUCCUGUUGGCAGACUUACUUGGCAGGCUCCCGUCACUGAAGCAAAUGAGCUCUCUGUUUGGAAGAUUCACCAAAAUGGGACUUUCCUCUGUCAUGUCUCUCAGGAUAUUCUGAGGAGUUGGUUGUGGCCCUUUCAAUGUGAGGGGAAUGAAGUGGCCAAAAAAUGGAAUGGCCUGAAAAAAGAUGCCCCUUAGUUAUGCCAAGCAACAUGGAAAUAAUUUCAGCGUGGUUUGUGCUUCACUGUUGGUUUCUUUUUUCAUAAUCUCACUGCAUUUUAACUCUGGGUUUUGUUUUGCAUUUAGUUCUUUCUGCAGUUCUCACUGUACGUUAAAAGAAUGGAGUGCCAGCGCUGUGUAAAGAAGAAUUGCUGAGAGGUCACAGGAAGCUCACCAGUUUUCAGGUGGCUGAAGGGGAGGAAAGUUGUUCCUCACACAAAGGUCUCCCAGAGGAGAGCUGCUCUCACCUCACCUGCAGCCAUGCUGCAUGGGGAGGGCCCAGCCACAGCAGAGGUAGAAGCUCCAAGCAGCUCUUUUCCUUCAAGCAGAAAAGAUGAGCAGUGAUCAACAUCCUUGGAGCCCUGACUUAUAAUGAAUCAUUCUUUUCUAUCCUGAAAGCAGCUGGUGGUUUGGGACUCCUUCUUUUCCACAGUCCCCAGUUUACUCAGAGAAAGGGAACAAACAGUGACUUCAUCCUGAUGGUGCCCUGGACAGAGUCUGAAGAGGGAAAGCUGCUGAAUUGUGAAGCAAGUUCAUUUCCCUGCCUACUGGAAUAGCAGGGAGGAGUUGGUGACUGCCAUCCAGGCGAGACCACUGGACAUAGAAGUCACUGACAAUAAAGAUUUUCAAAGUGCCUGAGGAGCCUGUAGUGACCUUUCAUAACUGCUUUCUAAUGGGGUUAGUGAUCCGUGAUGUUGUGAAAAAGGUAUGUGUUUGCAUCCCUGGAGACUGCAAUUAGCUCAGCAUCAAUAUCAGGACUUUUUUUCCCCAGUGAGCAUUGGAGAACACCAAAGCAAAGGGAUGUGUUUAUGCUACGAGGAAAUAUUUUCGGUACUAUAGGUGCCAUCAGAAGAUAUGUUCUUCUGCCUGUGUUUGUCCUUUGCAAAGGUGACAGUGAGGCUGGUGGACUGCUUUCACUUACGUGUUUUUGUAAACAGACAAGAAUUGUGUUGUGUUGUAAAUGUCAAAUACCAAGUUAGUUUUUGAACACUUAGAGACCUGGAUGAAUUAACUUUCUCAAACAUAAGAGAUUUGCAUAAUUUGUACAAGCUUGGAUUCAAGGUAGCUUUCUGCCUAACUGCCUUGCUUUGAGAACUAGAUUGACCCAAUCCACCUGAAUUGUAAAUUAUCUGAUCCCAUGUAUGGGAUUGUGAUGAUGAAGAAGAACACAGGCUGAGAUGAAUACGGCAAUUUGACUGCAAGACCAAAUACCAAAUACUCUUUUAGGUAUUUAUCUGUGCUCUGAACUGCUGUCUGAGAAUGCAUGUCUUUCUCUCCUUUUGUAAUAAAACUGAAAUUCUAACAGUGGUUCUGCAUGGCACAUAAAUUAGAUAUCUGGAGGAAACAGUAUGAACAGAAGUCUGAAUGUAUGACUCUGCAUAUAACUGUAUAACACAGGCUUUUACCAGUGAUGGGUAAUAGGUGCUCAUAUUUCACAUUUCAUUAAUAUCCUAGGCACGUCUCAUAGACAUAAAAUGUGCAACUUUUUUGAAGGUGGAGUGUUUUGACAGUGGUGGUUUGCUUCCUCAGAACAUAUUUGUUUGUUUUAAUGAAAGCGGUAAAUAUUGUGCUGAAUAGAUCUUUUCAUUGUGGCUGGAGUAUAUAAUAUGUAGAUAUGGUUAAGUAGGCCUAGUGAGUAUUUAGAGCAUGAAGAUAAGUAAACAGAGCCUGAAUCAAACUUUCAGUCUCUGAGAUGUUUCCUGCAGCCUUUUCCUGUAAAAGAUAUCCAGUAUUGCUUUUCUUUGGAGAUAUGGCAGCCUUCGUGUACCAACCCAUCCCCAUGUUGUGGUUAGAAAGAGGAUGGGGAUUAGGUUUGAGUGCUAUUCCAAUAUCUAAAACAAUUCAAGUUGUUUUCCAGCUCUGGAGAAUCUACAACAGUUUGAUUACUAUCUCUGCACUCUUUUUUUCCAUUUGAGAGCAACUCUAUUACAUUUGUUAAAGUUCAUGACUCUGAAGAUCAGCCAGGUUUUUGUCUAACUUGUCAGAAGAAAAUAUGAAGAAAAGGCAACAGGCACCUGAAUAUGGCAUCCACAACUCUGAGGUGGUUUAGUAGGGCAGACAACCCGGUUGUGCUAGGAGGCAGCAGUAAAAUAGAAAUGAAUGACUCUGUAAUCUUGAGUGCUGUGGAAUGGAUAGGCCUAGGCUAGCGCCAGAGUCUUAGAAACAGACUCAUCCUGAGUGUCAAUAAACUUUAGUACCUCUUAUGUGAAAGAUCCUGGACCAGCCACCUUCCAGUGACUGAAUCUGAUUUUCACUAUGGGCUAAUGGUGAAAGGUGGUGAGUUACACUGCAUUUCUUGAAUGGGAGGAUCCACACUACCAGUAUAGUGAAUUAGCUUCCCUUUGAGAGCCAUAGCUGAGUCAAUGAGGUGGAUUCCUAUUCUGUGAAUGUGGGUUGUGGUGUUCCCUUUUAACUUCAGAAAGUCUUCAUCUAAGCAAUCAGGGAAGGCUACAAUAAUGAAAGCAGACAUAAUGCAUAGGGAAAUCCACAAUACUUGGGUCAUGACCAGUUUAAAAGUAAUCUGAAUAACAGCAUGAUGAAAUAACACUUCAUCUCAGUGCACUUAGGAAAAUGCAGACAGGGUUAACAUAAGAAACCAGACUGGUAGGUGGUGUGUCGCAGUAGAGAAUUACCAUGAACUGGAGCUGAAGUCUAGGAGGGCUAUAAAAACCUGCCUACAAGAACAUGAGAAUUCAGUGGAUAUGGACUACUGAGAGCCCAGGAGCCACAAAGGGUAGCCAGAGGAAACUGAACUGCAGUCCACAGCAUUUUAUUAAUCCAGUCCACAGUGUUUUAUUAAUCCUGCAAAACCAAGGAGCUGUCUAGGAUAGAGACCAAUUGCUGUGUCUCUUUCUUGGCAUUUUAUGUAUUAGUAACUACUCAGAGAGUGAUAUUAAGCUGAUAUAAAGCAGUCCUGUAAUGAAAACUCAUCAGCAUGGAAGUUGAGACUGAUGCUGAGUUGUGAUAGCAUCUCUUUUAAGGAGGAAUUUUCUCUCCUGUUUGCAAAUGCCAAAGAUGCAAAAUUUCCAGUGCAUGUAUUCCAUGUGAUGAGCUGGUUUAUAGCUGGGAUUCCCACUGAAUGUGCUUUUUGAGAUCUGUAGAUAAUGACCAAAAAAGUAGCCUUGUGUUGGCUUCUCAUGAUGUCCCACAAAGUGGUUAGUGAACCUGAAAUUUUAGACAUACUAAAUCAUGCCGUAAAUUUUUCUGGUGAUCUGAAUGAAUAACAGCUUACAUGUGAGAAACUGAAAAAUACAUGUCACUUCACCACUAAAAUCCAGUGACUGGGAGAAAAGCCACAAGUAAGUGCUGCGACCUUGCUGAUACAGUGAAAGAGGAGGAAAUAGGACGCUCUUGAAGAAUGGAAGUACUUAUACAUGUAUUUCAAAAGGUAUUUAUAUGAAUAUAUAUGUGUAUGUGAUAUAUAUACCUUGUCAACAAGUCUUUCUGUAUAUGGGACAUCUGCCUUGGAAACUAUCAAAUAUCAGUCUUUUCAGGUGAGUAUACCUAGAAGAAGGGAGAAAUGCAAAUUUUAAGAAUCAACAGGAAGUACAUAGGUCAC